ACUGACGUUUCAGAUCCAGGUAUCAAUGUGACAUCAGUUUUAUCGCUUUCAGGACGAUAUGAUGGUUAAAUAUUUGCCAUCCAGCAAACUGACCUGACGUCGACGUCAUUUUCGGAAGAUGGAAGAGGUAUUAAAUGGCUAUGUAACUAACCCAAACCCUACUCCUACUCUAACCCCUAACCCUAAACAAAUUAAUAAAAAAAUCAAAAAAGAAACAACUUUAGAAAAUCGAUAGGGCGGUUUGCUGGAUGGAAAAUAGUGCUAACCCGAUAUCAUAAAUGUCACGAGCGAGUGCAUAAACAUGUCCCUUGUUCGCUGUGCUCACUCCUCGUCAUCCCUCAAGCAACAUACUAAAACUGCUAUCGCCUCACCCCUCAAUCAUAUGAUAACUCUCGUGAUAAACUAUAAUUAUAUCAAGUAUAUCAGAAUUAGAUUUAUAUCAUUUCAACUCAGACACAUCACAAAUUAUUGAAAUUAACACAAACUAUCCCAGAGACUUACAUUUAAACAAUUCAACUGCAUUAUUUUUGAUAUUCGUCAAAGCCGUCGAACAUUGUGGACUAAUUAAUGAAUCGUCAUUCCGAAGUCUCGACUGAUUUAGCUGGUUGACCAAAACAGAGCGAUAUGAAGCAAAUACGUUUUCUCCAAUUUGGUCUUGCAAAAGUAGCUGCGUUGCUAAUAUAUCAUUGUGCACUACUUCCAUAUCUGCUCUCGCGAGAAGAGAGCAGAAAAGAAAAGUUAGCAGUGAAAUCGCACAUGAAGUAAAAGCUACCAUAUUUUCGAGUAGUUUCGCCGGCAGCUCUGCCUUUUAUAAAUUGCAAUUUUAAUACGGUAUACAGCGAUACAACACCAGCAAAUAAUUAUU